ACAUACAUAAUAAUUGCCACGAAAUGGUCCCGACUCAGCAUGGUGUUAGCCUGGGAGGGCCAACGCUGAUCUUCCGUCGGGGCCAUUGCGAGUGAAAACACGGAAAGCACACACAUAUCACAAACAGGAUAAAAAGUUGCAAAAAAGUACACAAUUUAAAAUAAGACAAUAUUUCCAGAGUUUAUAAAUUAUACAUUAAAAUAAAGGGAACAAAACAAUGACAAACAUUUUUAAGUGUGAACGCGACCAUAAUUUAACGUCAACAGCUAACAGCAUCUGUGGCAACACACCAAUGACGUAUAGCUGUCAGCUGAAGAAGCAAAAAUAACAAAUAUGGCCGCAGUUCACGCAUAGCAAUCUUUUAUGGCAGAAAAAGUCGAAAAAUAUUAACAAAGACAACAUUUAUUGGGACUACACUUGAAUAAUUUUAUGUGAAAGGGCGUUUGCUAACUGAACUGGGACAAAAACUAUGGUUCCUGAUCGGAGGAGGUAUAUUAUUCCAGCAACGGCUCGCUGAAUAGGAAUAACUGCCCCGGAAGGCUGCCGAUGCGUGCCUAGGAGUAAGAAGUCGAGUCUCAGACCGCCGGCCCCCUCGUGGCCUGCGUAUGGACAGCUUCUCGUAUAGAUAUAUGGGAGACUGAUAGUUUAUCACUCCAAAGAGUAAAGAGGCAAGGUGAAGCUUACGGCGGUGGUGCAUUUUCAGCAUGUAGUGCUGAUUAAGGAAAAGUGACACAUGGGCCCGCAGUGGUAUAGAAAAACAAAAACGGGCACAAGCGUUUUGGACACGCUGUAUAAGUCGCUUGGUUUUAUAAAGGAGACGUGGUCCAAAUACAACAUCCAUGUAAUUUAAUUUCGACAAUACAAGUGACUCUACUAACCUAA